rnacentral:rRNA from 1 species
GUAAACUAUGCCAUCUAGCGAUCCAAUGGGGUAUUGUAGCCUUGUUGGGGAGCUUCCCGGAAACGAAAGUCUUUCGGUUCCUGGGGUAGUAUGGUUGCAAAGCUGAAACUUAAAGAAAUUGACGGAAGGGCACCACCAGGAGUGGAGCCUGCGGCUUAAUUUGACUCAACACGGGAAAACUCACCCGGCCCGGACACCGUUAGGAUUGACAGAUUGAAAGCUCUUUCUCGAUUUGGUGGUUGGUGGUGCAUGGCCGUUCUUNGG